rnacentral:lncRNA from 1 species
AUUAAGUUUCCACACUGUCAUGCCACCACUCUACAUUGUUUUUUUUCCCUUCUUAUCACUUCUGUUUUCUUGAUUUCUCAUACAAAAUCAAUCAUCACUUCAAUGGAGAAAGUGAGUUUCAGAAUAGAAGUCCUCAGCAGACACCUAAGUCAAAAAACAUCAACUCCCAAGUAUACAUUCCAAUCAGUCCCAUGUCUUAGCUACAAGCCACCUGAGCUUUCAGAACCAUCUGCUGUUUUCAACAUAAAAGAGAUGAGAAAGCUCGUGGAUGGUCACAAUUUGAAGGAAAGGGAGUGGCUUUUUGGUCUGAUGUUACAAAGCAAUCUUUUUAACCCAAUAGAAAGGGGUGGCAAAGUGUUUGUUUCCCAUGAUUACAGUCAGUCUAAGGAACAACAAAGGGAAAUUACCAUGAGGAGAAUUGAGUACCUUCUUGAACAUGGGGUUUUCAAGAAAUGGUUUACUGGUAAAGGGCCUGAAAAUGAGUGGAGGAAGUUAGCUUUCUCGGAUUGUGUUGGCGUCUUUGAUUAUUCACUUAGCAUCAAGCUUGGAGUCCAUUUGACCCUAUGGUAUGUUCUUGUCCAUUGUGUGCCUAUUUUUAAUAUCCGGAAGUUAGUGGCCUAACUAAUUUGCAUACCUCUCCGGUAGGUCCCAACUAAGGGAGAAGUUAUCUAUUCUCGAGGCCUGAACUCGAGACGUAUGGUUGAGGGGGAGACAUUUGGUUAAGUGUGGCGUCCACUAAGAGAUAAGUUCUUCAUUCCCGAGAGUUGAACCCUUGGCCUAUGGUUAAGGGUUAGAAUUGUAGUUAAGACUUAAGAGGUUCUUCAUUUCUAAGACUUGGUAGAACCCGACUCUUGUGGUUAAGUGCAAAACUUUGGUUAAGUGUGAAGGGGGUCACCUCCAUCCCACCUCACCUCUUGAUGGUCCGAAUGAUAAAUUGCUAUAAUGGUUGUUGUUACUGUUUGUUUUUCACUCAAAUUAGUUGGGAUCAAAUAUAUGAAUCGGCUUUGUCUAUCUCAGAGAACUCAUAAUUCCACUCUUUUUACUAUGGUUGUCAUAAGACAUUAUUAUUGAAUAGGAAUAAGAAAGAGUAUAAGUAGACAUUAAAUUUUCCUGUACGGACAUUCUUGAUUGCUUGAUUGAUUGGUUAAAGAAAGCUUACUUGGCAACUUUAGACCACCCAUCUGUGGAGGGUAGGAUGUACGCAAACCCUACCCCUGCCUUUGUGGGGUAGAUAGUUUGUUUCCGGUAGACCCUUGGCUCAAAACAAAAGUUUUUUAAGCAAGGAAAAUGCAAUAGAAAAAUAGCAAAAUAGCAAGAUACAAAGCAAAUGAAACAACAGACGGUACCACACAUUGAAAAAUAAGAAACAAAGCAAAUGCUAACUAGUACUACCACUACUAAUAGGAGGGGUAUUAUAUAAUUUUUUGAAUUAAUUUAAAUUGAAAAGUAUUAUAUAAAUUAGAAAGUCGUUUGUUUACAUUGAUGGGAUGUAUAAGAAUAUUUCAUGAGAUCCAUUAUCCCACCUUUUGUAUGAAAUUGCUAAUUUCACCAUUUUGUACAAAAUUAUUUUUGGAGCUAAUCAACAUCUAUAUUCAAAUAUGUAUAAAUUAGAAAGUCGUUUGUUUACAUUGAUGGGAUGUAUAAGAAUAUUUCAUGAGAUCCAUUAUCCCACCUUUUAUAUGAAAUAGCUAAUGUCACCAUUUUGUACAAAAUUAUUUUCGGAGCUAAUCAACAUCCAUAUUCAAAUAUGAGACUGAGUUGUUGUUCGGUAGCUGGUUAGAAUUAUGCAGGUAUUAGCUAUUCUAUCCUCUACUCCGUAUAAGAUAAUACACCAAUUCCCUCAUAACUCAUACAUGUAUUAGUUACGAGUUUCUAAAUUGCAAACCAAACUUCAUAUUAGUUUUAAUCACGAAUAAUUUAUUUCCUAAUUAACUACCAAACAUUGUAUAACUUAUACAAAAUUUAAUAAAUAUAUAAAUUGCUUCUUUACUAGCUACCAAACGACGACUGAUUGUUUGUUAUUGUAGUUGUCAGUCAACUAUGAGGUAAAAUAAUCAGACAUUUUGAAAUUUUCAGCUAUUGAUGUAGCCUCUUUGGAUGCUGAUCUAGAAUCCUUAUUUUUUAAAUUAUUAACAACCACCUAGCCCACCAACUUUGACCAUGGAAUAUAACUAAGUAGCCAGAUCAGUUAGACCAAAUAUUAAGUCUCCACACUGUCAUGCCACCACUCUACAUAGUUUUUUUCCCUUCUAUCAUUUCUGUUUGCUUGAUAUCUCAUACAAAAUCAAUCAUCACUUCAAUGGAGAAAGUGAAUUUCAGAAUAAAAGUCCUCAGCAGACACCUAAAUCAAGAAACAUCCACACCCAAGUUUAUACUCGAAUCGUUUCCAUGUCUUAGCUACAAGCCACCUGAGCUUUCAGAACCAUCUGCUGUUUUCGACAUAAAAGAGAUGAGAAAGCUCGUGGAUGGUCACAAUUUGGAGGAAAGGGACUGGCUUUUUGGUCUGAUGUUACAAAGCAAUCUUUUUAACCCAAUGGAAAGGGGUGGCAAAGUGUUUGUUUCCCCUGAUCACAGUCAGUCUAAAGAACAACAAAGGGAAAUUACCAUGAGGAGAAUUGAGUACCUUCUUGAACAUGGGGUUUUUAAGAAAUGGUUUACUGGUGAAGGGCCUGAAAAUGAGUUGAGAAAGUUAGCUUUCUCGGAUUGUAUUGGCGUCUUUGAUCAUUCACUGGGCAUCAAGCUUGGAGUCCAUUUGACCCUAUGGUAUGUUCUUGUCCAUUGUGUGCCUAUUUUUAAUAUCCGGAAGUUAGUGGCCUGACUAAUUUGAAUACCUCUCGGGUAGGUCCCAACUAAGGGAGAAGUUAUCUAUUCUCGAGGCCUGAACUCGAGACGUAUGGUUAAGGGGAAGACAUCUGGUUAAGUGUGGCGUCCACUAAGAGAUAAGUUCUUCAUUCCCGAGAGUUGAACCCUUGGCCUAUGGUUAAGAGUUUGAAUUGUAGUUAAGAGGUUCUUCAUUUCUAAGACUCGGUAGAACCCGACUCUUGUGGUUAAGUGCAAGAUCUUUGGUUAAGUGUGAAGGGGUCACCUCCAUCCCACCUCACCUCUUGGUGGUCCGAAUGAUAAAUUGCUAUAAUGGUUGUUGUUACUGUUUGUUUUUCGCUCAAAUUAGUUGGGAUCAGAUAUAUGAAUCGGCUUUGUCUAUCUCAGAGAACUCAUAGUUCCAUUCUUUUUACUAUGGUUGUCAAAAGAUAUAAUUUUUGAAUAGGAAUAAGAAAGAAUACAAGUGACAUUUAAUUUUCCUGGACGGACAUUCUUGAUUGCUUGAUUGAUUGGUUAAAGAAAGUAUGCUUGGCAACUUUAGACCACCAGUCCGUGGAGGGUAGGAUGUACGCAAACCCUACCCCUGCCUUUGUGGGGUAGAUAGUUUGUUUCCGUUAGACCCUUGGCUCAAAACAGAAGUUUUUUAAGCAAGGAAAAUGCAAUAGAAAAAUAGCAAGAUACAAAGCAAAUGAAACAACAGAUAGUACCGCACAUUGAAAAAUAAGAAACUAAGGGAAUGCUAACUAGUACUACCACUACUAAUAGGAGGGGUAUUAUAUAAUUUUUUGAAUUAAUUUAAAUUAAUAAGUGUGAUAUUAAUUAGAAAGUCGUUUGUUUACAUUGAUGGGAUGUAUAAGAAUAUUUCAUGAGAUCUAUUAAUCCCACCUUUUGUAUGAAAUUGCUAAUUUCACCAUUUUGUACAAAAUUAUUUUCGGAACUAAUCAACAUCCAUAUUCAAAUAUUCUAAUACGACACUGAGGAGUUGUUCGGUAGCUGGUUAGAAUUAUGCAUGUAUUAGCUAUUCUAUCCUCUACUCCAUACAAGUUAAUACAUCAAUUUCCUCAUAACUUAUACAUGUAUUAGUUACGAGUUUCUAAAUUGCAACCAAAUGUCAUAUCAGUGUUAAACAUGAAUGACUUAUUUCCUAACUAACUGCCAGACAUUGUAUAACUUAUACAAAAAUUAGUACAUGUAUAAAUUGCUUCUUUACUAGCUACCAAACAAGCUCUGAUUGUUUUUUAUUGUAGUUGUUAGUCAACUAUUAUGUAAAAUAAUCAGACCUUUUGAAAUUUUCAGCUAUUGAUGUAGCCUCUUGUGGAUGCAGAUCUAGAAUCCUUAUUUUUUUAAUUAUUAUUAACCACCUAGCCCACCAACCUUGACCAUGGAAUAUAACUAAGUAGCCAGAUCAGUUAGACCAAAUAUUAAGUUUCCACACUGUCAUGCCACCACUCUACAUUGUUUUUUUCCCUUCUUAUCAUUUCUGUUUUCUUGAUUUCUCAUACAAAAUCAAUCAUCACUUCAAUGGAGAAAGUGAGUUUCAGAAUAGAAGUCCUCAGCAGACACCUAAGUCAAAAAACAUCAACUCCCAAGUAUACACUCCAAUCAGUCCCAUGUCUUAGCUACAAGCCACCUGAGCUUUCAGAACCAUCUGCUGUUUUCAACAUACAAGAGAUGAGAAAGCUCAUGGAUGGUCACAAUUUGGAGGAAAGGGAGUGGCUUUUUGGUCUGAUGUUACAAAGCAAUCUUUUUAACCCAAUAGAAAGGGGUGGCAAAGUGUGUGUUUCCCAUGAUUACAGUCAGUCUAAGGAACAACAAAGGGAAAUUACCAUGUGGAGAAUUGAGUACCUCCUUGAACAUGGGGUUUUCAAGAAAUGGUUUACUGGUAAAGGGCCUGAAAAUGAGUUGAGGAACUUAGCUAUCGCGAGUUGUAUUGGCGUCUUUGAUCAUUCACUUGGCACCAAGCUUGUAGUCCAUUUGUUCCU